GCCAACAUAUCCGACGUGUGCGAGAGGAAGACGCACAACGCUGGGCUAGAUGGUACCAGAAUUUCCCGCCACCACAGUGAGCGAAGAUCUAGCUUGGGGGAGAUCCUCUCCCCCACUAAGGUAAGUAUUCUAUCCUAUUUAUUUUCAUGCAUUUUAUCAUUCUUACUUAAAAAUAAAUAAAUAUUUAUUAGCAUUUCCCUUUAGCAUAUAUGCUUCAUGUAUGCUUAUAUCCCUCAUGGAAAUGAUGACUAGUUGCUUGUUAAUGUUUCUCUAGUACCUAGUAUACAACUUAGUAUUUCUCUAAGUAUGGAUCACUUAGCUCACUUAAACUGCCAUGAACCUAAAAACUUUGUGGGUUGCAAGUGCUAGAACUAAGUCUAAGUUGUUGUGGGACAUGAGAUAGUAAGACAAGAGCUACUAUAAUAUUUUUCUAAGCAUGCAUGAUUAUCAGAGAUUUAUUCUUAAAAUGAUCAAAACCUUAAUUGUUCCUCAAUGGUGAUGAAUUCCUACCACAGCCAUAUCUACUUUACAUAAUUGCAACCUUUCCACAUAAGCUAUUUGCUUUGGGUUGAGUGUCGUCAAGUCUUGUUGACCCUUGUUAAGAGACUUUUCAUGCUCCUAAGAUCAAGAUCACGUACACACCACAUAUAUAU
rnacentral:lncRNA from 1 species